CAGUAGCCGCGGUAACACGUAGGGUGCGAGCGUUAAUCGGAAUUACUGGGCGUAAAGCGUGCGCAGGCGGUUCGUUAAGACAGAUGUGAAAUCCCCGGGCUUAACCUGGGAACUGCAUUUGUGACUGGCGAGCUAGAGUAUGGCAGAGGGGGGUAGAAUUCCACGUGUAGCAGUGAAAUGCGUAGAGAUGUGGAGGAAUACCGAUGGCGAAGGCAGCCCCCUGGGCCAAUACUGACGCUCAUGCACGAAAGCGUGGGGAGCAAACAGGAUUAGAUACCCCAGUAGUCCCUGUCUCUUAUAC
rnacentral:rRNA from 1 species